AUCUCAAGACUUGUCUUCAGAUAUGAACGUCGUAUAGUGAAUCAGUGGAUAGUUUAGCGAAAACUAUUGAUAAAGUUUUCUUUAAGCCUUAAGAACCAGGUCGCCGCUGGUCCUAUCAUACUUUCCACGACGAGUUGCCAAUAUCCGAAUUUUUUCUCUGUUGCGUUAAAGUGUGCUUGUCUCAUGGAUAUGUUGUCAUGUGAUCACUACAAUCUGUCUCGCAUGAAAAAUAUGAGAUCUUGAUUUUGUCCAAGUGUCGGAUCUUGAUUAUCUUUGUCGUGAACUGCGUCUUCUGUAUUGCAGCGAGAACAUGCUCUAUUUCUGGCACUGAACUUGUUCCUCGAUGAACCUUGGAUGAGAUAUUUUGUAUUGAAUUCCAAAUAAAAUCGAUUUCUUGGUUGGUUGGUUGGUUGACCUAUUCAAUCCACUGCGAGUUGAUAUCCUGCCGAGUUUUGAUUGGUUCAGAAUAGAUCUCUUCUUGCAGUUUUGGGAUCAUUAUUUUGAAGCAAUGAUUGUCUAUAGACUGCAACUAGGGAAUUGAGCCGUUCAUUAGUAGCUUUUUGAUGCAUCUUGUCUCUCGAAGUGCUCCACCAUAUUUUGCAUCAUAGUCAUCACCACGGCCAAGUCUGGCUCUGCAGCUGAUGCGGCUUGGCCUCCGGUUCGAGUGUUAUCUUCUUUGACCAUCGUAGAUCUUCUUUAACACUUAUUUAUAGUUUCCACUGAUGAUGUUAAUUAUUGAAUUUGAAUUUGGCAUGUUCGAGAUGAAAUCACAAAUUUUAUGGUGAGUUAAUUGAAAGAUAAUUAUUGGAAUAUUAACGAUCGAUUACAAGGAAAAAAGGUAUUGAAAUUGCUUAAAAACAGUGAUUUUCAAAGAACAUAAUAAAUCUAUGAAAAUCCUAUCUCUUGUGCCGAUUUCUAUGUGUCUGUGAAUGUUGUUUAUCUUUGCUAGUUCUCUUUUAUUUGUUGUCGACUCACCGACGUCCUCCUUUUUUCGUAAGCCGACAUGGUAUUCCUCGACUGCAUCUUUCUUUAACUGUUGUUCCAAAUUCAUUUACAUGGCUUUGUCGAAGGACUCCGUCCAUCUUCAACUAGAACAAAGUUGUGCCAAAUGGCAUACAGUUGUCGUAGCUUCGGUAGAAGGAGGGACAAUGAAAAAUUGCUAAAUAAUACGAACUUGGUCAAAUUUAUAUAAUAGUCUAAUAUCUCACAUGCGUACAAAAAAAACUCAUUUAUCAUGCUAAAGUAGUAUGAUUUGGAGUGAAAUUUAUUGCUGGACAACCUACUCAAUGGCUUUGAAUGUUAUAAACCGCCAUGCACCGCAGUUAACAGCAAUAAAAAUCUUUACAUAUACCAUAUAUCUAUACGUUUUUAUAACUGUAAAAACUGCACCGCAGUUGAACCGCUUGUCCCGCACCGCUAAACCCACAGUUACCAUUCGAAGUCAAUGUAUUGCAAUGGAGAUGAUUGGUUGAGUUGUAACAAAUUUUUUUAGCUUUAACUUAUAUUUAUAACCUAAUUGUCAAUCAAGCUUUAUUUAGUUUUAAAGGUUAAAUCAGAAAAAUUAACGAAAUGGACAUAGAAAUCUUCUUUUUAAAGCAUUAGACAUGAUUGGUAAAACCUGUAGAUGAUUGCAUAGUCUCAUUUAUUCCACAGCUUUGAAAGUAAAGCAAUCAAGCUGUAAUUUAUUGUUCAAACCCUACAGCCAGUUCAAUUUUUUUCUAAAAUCUAUAGCUUUGAAAAGCAAUUUUUCAAAAGCAUUAUUUCAAGUUAUUUCAGAACAUGAUUUUUUUUUCAUUUGACAGACAUGUUUCUUUCACUUGACACACAUAAUAAUAUAUUUAAAAUACUUAUUUAUAAAGACGCCUAGAAUAUUAUAAUUGUACUGUGUAAAGAUUAUGAAUAUCAUAUAAAUUUAAAUUUAAGUUUCACAUUUAUGGAUUUAUAUGUCAUAUAUGAAUUAUAUAUAUAUAUAUGAUACUCAUUAUAUAUUAAUAAAAUAUAUUUAAAUUUUUUAAUUUUAUCAAUUUUGCUAUGAUUUUGAAUAAUCAUAACCUAAUAUUUAAUAUAUUUUUUGUCAACGCCCAUAAUAGAAGAUCAAGUAGUGAUCGAGUUUGAAUCGUUCCGAAGAGACGAUAGGUCUUAUUCUCUCCAUUUAGAAGAGAACAUCACUACUUCUUGCCUCUUUUGCAAGAGAAUCUGCCGAGGCUUUUUAAUCUAAUAUUUAAUUAAAUUUAUAUAAUUAGUAUUUCUUAAAAAAAAUCAUAGUUCAGUUUAUAUAACUACACUACAAAAACCUACAACUUAAUUUUUAUAGUAAAAAAAUCUAAAACUACAACACAUAUCUAUAUCUUAGAUUCUAUAACAAAAAAAACAAAGCUAUAACGCAAAAACAUACAGCUUAUAUUCUAUAAAUAAAAACAAUUGAUGUAUAAACACCUUUCUUCUUCUCAAUUAAUUCUUACAGCUACAUCAAAUACAACUAAGUCAAAAAAAUCAUAGAAAAGAAAUUAUACAGGAAAAGUACUAAAACUAAAGUCCAACUAAUCAUCCACAAUAGUUGUAGAUAACAUACACACACACAUAUAUAUAUAUUGAUUUAUUAAUCUGGAAGUAUUCCAAACCUAUAAAUGUGUCAAGACUAAUUUAUAAAGAAAUGUGCAGGCCACAAAUGAAUUUCAAGUAUUUUUUGUACGUGUGCACACUUUAGUACUUUACGUACACAGUUUUUAUACCCAUGCAUUUUUAAAAUAAUUAUUAAAAUAUAUAUGAAAAUGAAUGUUAAAAUAUAAAGAAAAGAAAUUAUAAAUUAUUGUAGAAAUUAUAUUUUUAUAUACCUUAAAAUUUGAAAAAAUCAAAUAUAAACAUAUAUGGAAUGAAUAAUAGUAACAUUAAAAAACUAACUAAACCAAAAUGUAUUGUUUGACGUUAACAUCUCUAAAAUCAAAACCAAGUUACACUGUAUAGUAGUAUAUAUAUAUUUACCCUAACUAUAAGUAAUGCACUAACUUAACUAACUAAAGCAUCACCAUUUUUUUUUGUUACUCUAAUGAUGAGCCACAUAGGAACAUAAUCUUUGUGUUCUAGGGUGUUGAUAAGAUGCAUUAUUGUAUAUGUGGUAAAAAUAGUGUGGUCAAAAUCUUUGUGCCAAUUUAUCGGUGAAUGAAAUAAUUGAUAUCGUUGAACCAAAAAAAGAGAAAUUUGCCAAAAAAGAAUUAAGAAAACUCAUUUAUUGUCCCCUUAGAAUCAUUUUAAAAGUUCGUGUCCACUUAGAAUGAAUAUUAAUGUUAAACUCAUUCUAACCCUCUAAUUAUACAAUUAAUUUUUAUUCUAAAAUUAAAACUAAUUAAAACUAAUUAAAACUAAACGAAUUCAAAAACUCUUUUGCAAACGCACAGCAUUUCACAACAUCGUACAUAUAACAUAUCCUCUCUCUUGAUCUGCCAUGCAAGCUCUUCAAUCCUCAUCUCUCUGUGUUUCUCCACCGAACCCACUCAUCAAACUGGUCCGUCAAUUGAUUCAUUUCUUCUCACGUCUCUGGCCUUCUUAAGUCCGAUCUCGUCUAUGUUUGUACUGAGCUUUUCUUUUACUAUAUUUUUUUACUACAUGUUAUUACUGAGUUUUAGAGGCAAAACCAAGUUUUCCUCUGUAUGAAGGUCAAUGAAACUGCUAUAACUUGUUCGAACUUUCUUGGAUAAAUGAUCUUCAUGUGGAAGCAAUGAGAUUGUUCGGUUUGUGAUGAUUCAGUGAAAGAAAAUCUAUGUUCACUACACUUGAAAUUCAAUUUCUGAUUUUGCAGUGGCAAAUUAUGAUAUGUUCAGCCAACGUUUGUUUUUUUUUUUUCUGUUUUUGGUUGUUCUUCUUAAUAGCUUUACGAAGUUUUUUUUUUUUUUUUUUGGUAAAAAUGUUAAGAUUAUCAUUACCAAUUUUAAGUUUUUGACAGAAUACAGAGAUAACGAGAAGCAGAAAAUUUAAAAGCAACUAUACUAACUAAACAACAACUCAAACCGAACCAAGAAGUGGAAGAUACAACCAGCUAAGAGCCCACACGAAGGACCCAUCAGAGUCGGUACAAGUCGCUUGCCACAAAAGGAUGAACCGCAGUGAAUUACGAGACCUUGAGCCCGGGAGAAUUUGGCGAACCCGAUGAACAAGUCUUAAUGAUAGGUACAUCCAAGAACAGCUCGCUAAUGACCUUUUAAUCCAGUUCCAACACGCACAAACCACUAACUAGAGACCUAAACCCACCUACUAGCCAGCCGAGCCUUAUUCCAAACACCAACAAACAGGCUGCAGAUAUACAAACCUCAAAACAACCACGGGAACUGCACAAAAAAGGGUUGAGAGACAGCCGCCAACCCACACGAAGCUCUCCAAACCUACCAACCUAAGAAGCCGGAAGAGCACAUCCACUGGAACUGCUUCGCCAUGGCGAAAGGUUCCAGAGCAGGGAUGAUGUGAUCAACACACGGAGACACGAGCACCUACCCAAACCGAAUGACCACGCGGAGAAGAUAGGACUCACCAUGGACAGAUUCUGAAAACCAGAGGACUGACCGGCAAACGGGGCAAGAACGAGACAAUGAGGCACAGCCGCAAGGAGGAGGACUGGAGGAGACUCACAGCAGAGAACCACCACAAGCGCUUCAAGAGAGAGGCCGCGAGAGGAGGAAGACAAAGAGGAAUCACUUGAACCAAGCCGGAUCCAGAGCCAUAGACGACUCGUUGUCCAAAACCAGGUCGACGGUGAGCGCGCUAAACCAGGAACCGCCGGCUCGCCACACGACGAGAACCAGAGAUCCGAGGAACACGCCGACGUGGAACAAACCACGCCGCAACCUCUCGAGCAGAAGCAGACCGAGAAACCACUUUCGACAAGACACCAAGUGAAAGAGAGAGACACGCGCCGCCGCACCAAUUCGCCGGGAAAACGGAAGAGAGAAGAGCAGGUAGACGAGCAGAUCCAAGGCGAAGGAGCCACCUCCUGAAGUCACGCGCCGUCAAACAGAGGGAACCGCCGUAGAUCUAAAGGAAAAAAGAACGUCCGGCGAAACCCAACCCAAAAAGCCGACCACAACCUCCAACCUGCCACUACACACCCACCUCGCAGAGUCACCAGAGACCAAACCAGCACCGGAAUCAGCCUAGGUCUUCCGCCAGCAAGAGCUCAAACCUCCAGAGACGACCACAUAUCGGUGGGGAACCAGAUGGGGAGAGAAGGGCAAAAGGAAGACGAGAUAAGGGUAACUAGGAGGAGCCCUCCGGCGUCAAAAAAGGCACGACUCGCCGGAAGCAAACGGCGACCAGCAAAGAAGCGAGCGUUUGGAGAGAAAGUAAGAGGAGAUAGAAACUCUAAAGUUCUAUCGUGUCUCCCAUAUUGAUUUCUUUUCGCUUUACGAAGUUAUAAAAGUCGACUUUUGAAAUUAGCUUUAUCACACUCUAUAUGUAUUACACAAGGUACGUCUUUCAAGACUUCGAACAUGACUGUAUCAAUGAUUGUGGACUGAAUAACCCCUAUUUCAAUGCAAGGAAUCUAAUGUUUUUUUCUUGGAUCAUCACAAAGUUGUUUACGAGUAAUCACAAGUAUAUUUACAAAGAAAGGUGAAAAAUGUUGGAAAAAAAAGAAAUCUGUUGAUUUUUGGCAACAAGUUUCUAAAAGGAAAUAAAUAAGAUUUAAAGAAUAUUUCCUAUCCAUUUUUAACAUUUACUACAUUUUUAGCCUAUUUUUGAAAUUGGUAUUCCAGAAAUAAUUUCAAAACAAAAAUAUUUUUCCUAAAUGCACAUGAAUGUUAAUAUCAUAUUUUAUAUUUUUCUUUAUUUUUUUUUUCCUUGUAAAAAUAUUUAUUUGAAUUUUUAUAAAAAAGAAGGAUAGUGAAAAUCCAAAAAUGACAAUAUUUGGUUUUGUUCUAAAGGGACAAUAAAGAAGUUCAGUUGUUCUUUUUUGGCAAAAUUCCUUAAAGAAAGCUGCAUUUCAAGUAGACUGCAUCCCUCCUACAUCUCCAUUCAAUCUGAAUGUUAUGAUUAGGCAUGAGCAUUUGGAGUCCCAAUCGGAUUUCGGUUUUAUCUUUUCGGAUUUUGGUUUUUUGGAUUUAUCAAAAUCAGCUUCAUUCGGUUAUAUGAAAGUUCGGUUUGGAACCGGUUCGGAUUCUAUCAGGUUCGGGUCAGAGUUAAUAAAUCUUCAAAGAACCGGUAUAACCCAUUGUACUUUCGGGUUCAGGUUUCAAUCGAUUCUUCGGUUUAAAAAAUACCUGAUUAAUACCUACGUAGUAACCAAAAUAUAAGUGAAAUCGGUUUUUCAGAUUUACAGUACAUGAUUUGUACCUAUUUUAAUAGCCAAAACAUAAAUAAAAUCGA